UCACGUGGACGGAAAAAGAGCACGGAGCAGGCGCGCCUUUCGCUGGGUCCUACAGGAGGCGGGGCAGCGCACUUAGGGCGGAUGUUUGGGUGAGACGUGCUUUUCACUCCCUUCGGUAAAAGUUUAAAAGACAAACACCUGAAAUGAAAUCUGGAAGGAUAACACCUUACUCUUGAAUCCUGGGAGCCCGAAGUUGGACUGGAAUCUCAGGAAUACUAGAAGCCAGGAAAAUUUGGAACUAUUGACAUCCAAGAGUUUUGCUCUUAUUGUCCAGGCUGGAAUGCAAUGGCAUGAUCUUGGCUCCCUGCAACCUCCACCUCCCAGGUUCAAGUGAUUCUCCUGCCUCAGCCUUCCAAAUAGCUGGGAUUACAGGCACGUGCCAUCACACCCAGCUAAUUUUGUAUUUUAAGUAGACACAGGGUAUGGCUGGUCUCGAACUCCUGACCUCAGAUGAUCCGCCCACCUGGGCCUCCCAAAGUGGUGAUACUACAGACGUGAGCCACCACGCCUGGCCUCUUCCAUUCAUCUUUUAGAAAAAGAACUCCUAUCUCAAAGUUUAGUUGGUUAUGCAUCUGUGCAUUUAGUUGGUAUGAAAUUCAGGGAGCAUCAGGGCAAAGUUGGGGGAGCUUUCUAUGUCAUGUAAGGUGAUCAGGGAAGGCCUCUCUGAUAAGAUGACAUUUAAGCAGAAACAGAGGGAGAGAGUGAGCUGUGGGGCCAUUUGGAUAAAGACACAGAGGAAUACAGCAAGCACAGAGGCAGGAUUGAGCUCCAGGCUGGUUCAGGAACAGCCGAAAACCUGGCAUAUCUGCCACACAGUGAGUAAAGAGAAAUAAAAUUAAAGGGGAUGUAGGGGAGCAGAUCACAUAGGGCCUUAUAGGUCAUCAUAGAAAACUCUGGAAAUAGUCUCUUAGCAAAGAGCUGAUGGAGAGUCUCAAGGCAAGGACAAUGGAAGAGAGUGUAACGAGGGGAACAGGACCAGAGAAAGGAAGACUGCCAUGCCCUUCUGGAGCAUCUAUAAGUUGAAUUGAGCUUACAUUCAUAGGGAAUUUCAGAGACAAAGACAUUGUGGGGCUCAACAUAUACUCGUGGACAUAUUCA